GAUGUCCCCGAACCUUCGGUACCCGACCUCAAGUUUGGACAUGGUAUAAAUCAGCUGCAAACGUGGACGCUACGUCAGGAAAGUGAAAUAAUAAAAAUAGUAAGAAGGAAAAGGACGAAGUGGAACUUACCCCGACCAUGGUUGGGUAGAACGAAGACAGCAUCUCGGUCACCUGUCGAGCUUUCAGGACCUCCACAUCGGCUG
rnacentral:lncRNA from 1 species